rnacentral:SRP_RNA from 1 species
GCCGGGCGCGGUGGCUCACGCCUGUAAUCCCAGCAUUUUGGGAGGCCGAGGCGGGUGGAUCACCUGAGGUCGGGAGUUCAAGACCAGCCUGACCAACACGGAGAAACCCCGUCUCUA